GGGGGCAAGGAUUAAAAAUAGGCUUGCAAGAUCUCUAACCUUCUAAACCCAUGAUUCUAUCAGUUCACUCCUUUGCUGUAAUUUGAUCAUCUAAUACAACUAUUUCACCUUGUGACUCAUUGCUCAUUGUCCAAAAAUAAAUAAAUUAGGGGGGUAUUUGGUUGGAGGAGUGGAGGUCUGAAAUCAGAGUCGAAAUGGAUGACUCUCAUUCCAACCAUUUGAUUGGAAAGAGUCCCAUUUCGAUUCUGAUUUUAGAAUAGAAUGGGAAUAGCUCAAUCUAUAUAGAACUCAAUCCC
rnacentral:lncRNA from 1 species